UACGUAGGGGGCAAGCGUUGUCCGGAAUCAUUGGGCGUAAAGAGCGUGUAGGCGGUCCGGUAAGUCCGCUGUGAAAGUCGGGGGCUCAACCCUCGAAUGCCGGUGGAUACUGUCGGGCUAGAGUGCGGAAGAGGCGAGUGGAAUUCCUGGUGUAGCGGUGAAAUGCGCAGAUAUCAGGAGGAACACCUAUUGCGAAGGCAGCUCGCUGGGACGUUACUGACGCUGAGACGCGAAAGCGUGGGGAGCAAACAGG
rnacentral:rRNA from 1 species